UUGGGGAAGAGAUGGGUCUGGAUGGCUUUGUUGGUCUUCAGAUCUAGGGAACUCUAUUCCAGACACACCACACCCCAGUAUGCACACACCUCCACCAAGGAGAGAGAAACGUGGCACAGCUUCAGGGCCUUGGAUGUGCUCUGGCACAGACCCUGAGCUCGUAGAAGGAGAACCUGGUUGGCUGAUUAGCACUGGCACCAUCUGAGUGGGCAGUGCCCAGUGGCUGAAUGAACGGGAGACAGGAUCCAUCCCGACACCGACCAGCUCCAUUGUUUGAGCCUCAUUCAUUUUGGCCAUGUACAGGUCAGGGAGCCCUGCCGUACUCCUGCAAUGUCUCCUGUGGCCACCAGAGGGGGGUGUGUGCUCCUAUGGAAGACAUGGCUCCACCCCUGCAGAAGGUAGAAGUUAGCCUCCUUUAGGACUUCCCUCACAAUCUUAGACAACUUCUUCAAGGAUUAUUUACUGUAAAGAUUCUUUGGGAUCUACUGACAAUUCCCUGCAAGUGACAACCUAAGGUACUGGAGUGACUAAACGGUGUCCCUUCUUGCACAUGCAGAUACAUAAAAUUAUAAAUGACUGAAUGAAGGUGGACCCUCCCCUGACAUGAGACACAAAAUGAACCCCAAAUUGGUCACAGACCUAAAUUUAAGAGCUAAAACUAUAAAUCUCAGAGAAGAACUCCUGAGAAGAAAUAUUCCUGACCUUAGAUUUAGCAUCUGUUUCUUAAGGAUGACGCCAGAAUCAACAAGCGGAAGAACUGAACAUGUGUAAAUCUGUCACCAAUGCAACUGCCUUUCCUCUGGGCUCCCCACGUGAUCCCAGGCACCAGGGAGAGCCCCAGAUGUCCUCUAAGAUGUACCUUCUGUGCCUGGUCAGCUCCAUCUUGUGGCAGAGAAGACAGGGAUUACUACCAUGGCUUCUCCAGAAGCUUCAGAUUAUGUGGACGCCCCUUACCCAACAAUGUGGCAAGAGAGUGUUCUCCCCCUUCUUCUCACAUGGUGUCUUGAGCUGGAAGCACAGCUUCCUCUCUCACACAAGCUGAAUUUGAGGGAUACCAAUGUUGGGGCAGGCAGGGGUACGGGGCCAUGGCUAGGGGAUCCUGAGGGCUGUGGGCAAACUAUAUCCAGCGCCCAAACCCUUGGUAGAUGCUCUCUCCAUCCUGCAGUCCAUGAGCAGCCAAUGUUAUUUGUAAGGUCCUCUCUUGUUCAAACAGGUUCAAGUGGCUUUUGCUGUUGCCACUAAAACUACAUCUGGAUGAACACAAGUCUGUAACUCACUGACCUGCGCUGUCCUUAGAGGUUCUUCCCUCAGAGGAUCUGGUCCAGCCAGGAAAUACAGGGAGCAACCUGAUAGGAGUGGCCUGGUCUGCACUCCCCUGCUGGCCUGGAGCAGGGCGUGGUUGCUCAGGUCUCAUCUGUAGACUCCAGGUUCCUCCUUUCCCAAGGAAGGCUGCCACUGGAUAAAGAGAGUGUAGAUGGAGGAGCCUGCAGCAUGUCCUCCAAAAAUGUGGUUAACGUGUGUUCCAGAAAUGGUGCUUAUAGGAAUCAGACAUAAAGAACAGAGAUUUGUGACACAGAUGUACUUAUUACUUUAAUGAUGAGAGUCAAAUAAUUGGAAAUGGCUCAGUUGUUCAACAGAUGGUGCUUUGAGUGCUGUCACUGAGAAUGUCCAAGGGGACAGCGGUGACUGUGCCUAUCCACUGUAGGGACAUCAGGUAGAACAAGAGCCCAACCCCAAACUCUCCCUGCCGCACCCCCCCCCAGUCUUUGCAGACACACAUGCGUGCAAGCAAGCGCACACGAAAUCCAGAGGGAAAAGCAUGGAAACUGGACACCAACCAUUAUGGGUGAUUAUUUCAUGGAAGAAGGCAUGUGUCCUCAUUUAUUCAUAUUUAAAUCAUUAUUUUACUACAUAAAUAUUGUCUGCCUAAACCUAAAGAACUAUUUACUUUAUUUCCUGACUUGUUAGUAAAAAAUGGGAAGAUUUAAGAUGUAAUGUUAAUAUUUUUAUAAUAUGCCCACUAAAAUAGUUUAAACGUGGCCUAUGCAGGAAAAUGAAAUAAUUUAAAGGUGUCUCAUGGACCCAGAUAUUUCCCUGGUUUCUGCUUUUCAAGGUAUCCUUAUGAAAGGGAACACAAUUCCAGAUAAUGAAAGUAGUUCAUUUUGGGGC